CCCUUAGAUGUUCUGGGCCGCACGCGUGCUACACUGAGUGGAUCAGCGGGUCAGGUUGCGCGAAAGUGUUUCCUAAUCUUGAAAUCCGCUCGUGAUGGGGAUUGACGGUUGCAAUUUUCCGUCAUGAACGAGGAAUACCUUGUAAGCGCGGGUCAUCAUCCCGCGCUGAAUACGUCCCUGCCCUUUGUACACACCGCCCGUCGCUCCUACCGAUUGAGUGGUCCGGUGAGGCUUUGGGAUCUGAGCGGAAAGAGCGUUUCGCUGUUUCUGCUCGGAAAACCCAGUCGAACCUUAUCAUUUAGAGGAAGGAGAAGUCGUAACA
rnacentral:rRNA from 1 species